CCUGUAAUGAUAGUUACAGUCCAGAUUUUGUCUGUUAUGAUUGUUACACAGUCCAGGUUUUGCCUGUUAUGAUUGUUACACAGUCCAGGUUUUUCCUGUUAUGAUUGUUACACAGUCCAGGUUUUGCCUGUUAUGAUUGUUACACAGUCCAGGUUUUGCCUGUUAUGAUUGUUACACAGUCCAGGUUUUGCCUGUUAUGAUUGUUACACAGUCCAGGUUUUGCCUGUUAUGAUUGUUACACAGUCCAGGUUUGGCUUGUUAUGAUUGUUACACAGUCCAGGUUUUGCACGUGAUGAUUGUUACACAGUUCAGGUUUUGCCUGUUAUGAUUGUUACACAGGUCAGGUUUUGCCUGUUAUGAUUGUUACAUAGUCCAGCUUUUGCCCCGUUAUGAUUAUUACACAGUUCGGGUUUUGCCUGUUAUGAUUGUUACACAUUCCGGGUUUUGCCUGUUAUGAUUGUUACACAGUUCAGGUUUUGCCUGUUAUGAUUGUUACACAGGCCAGGUUUUGCCUGUUAUGAUUGUUAUACAGUCCAGUUUUGGCCUGUUAUGAUUGUUACACAGGCCAGGUUUUGCCCUUUAUGAUUGUUACACAGGCCAGGAUUUGCCCGUUAUGAUUGGUACAC